UACGUAGGGGGCAAGCGUUAUCCGGAUUUACUGGGUGUAAAGGGAGCGUAGACGGCAGCACAAGUCUGGAGUGAAAUCCCGGGGCUUAACCCCGGAACUGCUUUGGAAACUGUGCGGCUGGAGUGCAGGAGGGGUAAGCGGAAUUCCUAGUGUAGCGGUGAAAUGCGUAGAUAUUAGGAGGAACACCGGUGGCGAAGGCGGCUUACUGGACUGUAACUGACGUUGAGGCUCGAAAGCGUGGGGAGCAAACAGG
rnacentral:rRNA from 1 species